AUGGUGGUUCUGGCAGCUUCUAUAAUAUCAAAGUCUGGAAAGGCACUUGCUUCAAGGCAAUAUGUUGACAUGUCUCGGAUAAGGAUCGAGGGACUGCUUGCAGCAUUCCCAAAGUUGGUUGGAACUGGAAAGCAACAUACUUAUGUUGAGACAGAAAAUGUUCGUUAUGUUUAUCAACCAAUUGAAGAGCUGUAUCUGCUACUCAUCACAAAUAAGCAGAGCAACAUCCUUGAAGAUCUGGACACACUGAGGCUGCUCUCCAAAAUCGUACCUGAAUACUCCCCUUCUUUGGACGAAGAGGGUGUCUGCAAGGCCGCGUUCCAACUUAUAUUUGCUUUUGACGAAGCCAUUUCUCUUGGAAACAAGGAAAAUGUAACUGUUCCACAAAUUAAACAAUAUUGUGAAAUGGAGAGCCAUGAAGAGAAGCUGCACAAGCUGAUCAUGCAAAGCAAGAUAAAUGACACUAACGAUCUCAUGAGGAGAAAAGUUACUGAGAUUGAGAAAAACAAGAUUGACAGAGGCAAGACUGGGGAAGGAUUUGCUCCGACAAGAACUCCGAAUAACUUUAAUGACAUGAACAUUAGAGGUGGUCCAGGGUCAGAGAUUAAUCCUAUAUUUACUGACAAGACAAGAGGGCGAUCAUCUGCUCCUUCUCCUGCUCCUAUUAAAAUGCCUGGUGCAAUGAAAUUAAGUAAAGCACACAAGCCAAAUCAGUUCCUGGAGUCUUUGAAAGCUGAAGGAGAAGUUAUUCUGGAGGAUACUCAACUAAGCACAAUUCAGUCAAGGUCAUCAUCAUCUAUUCUACCAAGUGAUCCUAUCACAGUGACCAUUGAAGAGAAAUUGAAUGUCACAGUUAAAAGGGAUGGCGGAGUUAAUAAUUUUGAUGUUCAAGGAACCCUUGCUCUCCAAGUUCUUAAUGACACUGAUGGUUAUAUCCAGUUGCAGAUUGAGAACCAAGAUGCACCUGGACUUAGCUUCAGGACGCACCCUAAUAUUGACAAACAGCUGUUCAACGGCCAGAAAAUUGUUGGGGCAAGAGAUCCAACAAGGCCUUUCCCCAGUGGUCAAAAUGAAACACCCCUGGUGAAAUGGAGAAUCGAGGGGUUGAAUGAGUCUUCUCUGCCAUUGACAGUCAGUUGCUGGCCUUCAACAUCUGGAAAUACAACUGUUGUGAACAUUGAAUAUGAAGCUUCAGACAUGUUUGAUUUGCACAAUGUUAUCGUCUCUAUCCCUCUACCCGCACUUAGGGAUGCUCCAAGUGUAAAGCAGAUAGAUGGAGAAUGGAGGUAUGACUCAAGAAACUCUGUGUUGGAAUGGUCUGUUAUGCUUAUUGAUCAAUCCAACCGAAGUGGUUCCAUGGAGUUCUCUGUUCCCGCUGCUGAUCCAUCGACAUUUUUUCCCAUCUCUGUUGGAUUUUCUGCAUCAAAUACAUUUAGUAACGUGAAGGUUACUGCCAUCCUUCCAUUGCAGGGAGGUAGUUCAAAAUAUUCACAGCAGGUUCGGCUGGUCACUGUUAACUAUCAAGUGGUCUGA
rnacentral:rRNA from 1 species